AUAGCAUAUCAAUAAGCGGAGGAAAAGAAACCCACCGGGAUUGCCCUAGUAACGGCGAGUGAAGCGGCAAGAGCUCAAAUUUGAAAGCUGGCCCCCUCGGGGUCCGCAUUGUAAUUUGCAGAGGAUGCUUCGGGAGCGGUCCCCAUCUAAGUGCCCUGGAACGGGCCGUCAUAGAGGGUGAGAAUCCCGUAUGGGAUGGGGUGCCCGCGCCCGUGUGAAGCUCCUUCGACGAGUCGAGUUGUUUGGGAAUGCAGCUCUAAUUGGGUGGUAAAUUUCAUCUAAAGCUAAAUAUUGGCCGGAGACCGAUAGCGCACAAGUAGAGUGAUCGAAAGAUGAAAAGCACUUUGAAAAGAGAGUUAAACAGCACGUGAAAUUGUUGAAAGGGAAGCGCUUGCGAUCAGACUCGCCCACGGGGUUCAGCCGGCAUUCGUGCCGGUGUACUUCCCCGCGGGCGGGCCAGCGUCGGUUUGGGCGGUCGGUCAAAGGCCCCUGGAAUGUAACGCCUCUCGGGGCGUCUUAUAGCCAGGGGUGCCAUGCGACCUGCCCGGACCGAGGAACGCGCUUCGGCUCGGACGCUGGCAUAAUGGUCGUAAGCGACCCGUCUUGAAACACGGACCAAGGAGUCUAACAUCUACGCGAGUGUUCGGGUGUCAAACCCGUGCGCGCAGUGAAAGCGAACGGAGGUGGGAACCCUCACGGGUGCACCAUCGACCGAUCCUGAUGUCUUCGGAUGGAUUUGAGUAAGAGCGUAGCUGUUGGGACCCGAAAGAUGGUGAACUAUGCCUGAAUAGGGCGAAGCCAGAGGAAACUCUGGUGGAGGCUCGCAGCGGUUCUGACGUGCAAAUCGAUCGUCAAAUUUGGGUAUAGGGGCGAAAGACUAAUCGAACCAUCUAGUAGCUGGUUCCUGCCGAAU
rnacentral:rRNA from 1 species